rnacentral:lncRNA from 1 species
UAUAUUGGAUUAAAAUGUUGGUUUACAAUAGUGGAUAUUACACGAGGAACAUCAUCCCAAUGUGAUCCAUAAUCUAAAUAUUUUGUUGAUAUCCCUACAACUUAACUAAAACUUAACCGAGGAACAUCAUCCAACAGGAACAACAGCCCUUCCCUACAACUUAACCAAAACUAAAGGCAUCCAUCAUCAUCAUCAUCAUCAUCAUCAUGAACCGUAGCAUCAUCAUCAUUGCAUUAUACUUGCCACACACCCAUAUAAUCAUCCAUAUAUCUUCUGAAUCUACAAAGAAAAUAACAAAAUGAACUAUUAACACACAAUGAUUUGACAUCAUGCAACUAGUGACAGAGGCAGGUUAUUAGUCACGUACAAAUUUUAAAGGCCAUGCAAUCUUUGUUAUACAUAAAAAAUUACUAGCAUACAUAGCAGAUGGGAAUGCAUUCAUAACUUACCUCAAGGUGAUCAUUGACCCGUUAGUAAUAGUUUUCUUACCUUUUCUUUGAGGGGUUCAGGUUACAUACUUAAACUAUAUGAGCCUAAUAUGAGUGUCUUCGUGUAUGGCAGAAAGUUAGUGUUAACAUUUGCUUUGAUUGAUUCCAAUGUCAAACAUAUGAAAUGGGACAAAGACACAUUUUGUACGGCAUGUGGUGCGAAAUCUGUUGGAGCAGCACGAACCUGCACCAAUUGUUGGCGUCCCUUCUCCCACCUCCUUGUGAGAUCCUGGUCCAAGCAUGAGUACAAUAUAUCAGAGUACAAAUAGACUUUCAGUUUGUGCUUGUAAACAUAAUUUAAAUAUUAGUUACACACCAAUUGUGGUAAAGGGCCUAAUUAAGUUAUUCAACACAUCAUGCUGGUUAACAUGGUAAUUCGUGUUUGGGUAAAAAUAAAUUAGUCCGGACAAAAUCACUGCCUAUGCAGUAUAUAUAGACAGCCAGAAAGACCUAAAUAUGAAAUCGUUACGAAACAAUGGAGAGACAUGCUUACAUUUUUUUUGAAGCUACAGACUUUUCACACAGCAAGGUAUAUAUGCAGUGACCAGGAAUAAUCACAACAAUUCUUUAAUUGGAGUGUGAACAAUUUGCAAAAGACAUACAGCUAACGCAAUUCAAAAAGCAUUGUGCACACAUCUUUUAUUGUUUCAGAACAUGAAAAGGGCGGGAAAACGCCAAAUUUAGAACAAAAUUAAGGACUGCUUCAGAACCACACACCGUUAGUCAGGAUUUAUACAAUCCCGUAUAUUCUGGAAAGUAGCUUAAUUACCUUAUUAUGCUUUCAGUAAGUGGCUGCUCUGAAAUCCAAAUAAUGAAACCGCAGAGGAACGAUAUACAUGUUGUUAGAAACAAAUGUUUAGAAUAUUG